GGUUAAACUCAAAUGAAUUGACGGGGCCCGCACAAGCGGUGGAGCAUGUGGUUUAAUUCGAUGCAACGCGAAGAACCUUACCUACUCUUGACAUCCAGAGAAUUUAGCAGAGAUGCUUUAGUGCCUUCGGGAACUCUGAGACAGGUGCUGCAUGGCUGUCGUCAGCUCGUGUUGUGAAAUGUUGGAUUAAGUCCCGCAACGAGCGCAACCCUUAUCCUUUGUUGCCAGCACAUUAUGGUGGGAACUCAAAGGAGACUGCCGGUGAUAAACCGGAGGAAGGUGGGGAUGACGUCAAGUCAUCAUGGCCCUUACGAGUAGGGCUACACACGUGCUACAAUGGCGUAUACAAAGAGAAGCGACCUCGCGAGAGCAAGCGGAACUCAUAAAGUACGUCGUAGUCCGGAUUGGAGUCUGCAACUCGACUCCAUGAAGUCGGAAUCGCUAGUAAUCGUAGAUCAGAAUGCUACGGUGAAUACGUUCCCGGGCCUUGUACACACCGCCCGUCACACCAUGGGAGUGGGUUGCAAAAGAAGUAGGUAGCUUAACCUUCGGGAGGGCGCUUACCACUUUGUGAUUCAUGACUGGGGUGAAGUCGUAACAAGGUAACCA
rnacentral:rRNA from 1 species